AACGAACGCUGGCGGCAUGCCUAACACAUGCAAGUCGAACGGGCAGGGGCAACCCUGUCAGUGGCGGACGGGUGAGUAACGCGUGGGAACCUGCCUCGAAGUCCGGAAUAACCGCGGGAAACUGCGGCUAAUACCGGAUGUGGCCCGAGGGCCAAAGGGGAAACUCGCUUCGAGAGGGGCCCGCGUCCGAUUAGCUAGUUGGUGAGGUAACGGCUCACCAAGGCGACGAUCGGUAGCUGGUCUGAGAGGAUGAUCAGCCACACUGGGACUGCGACACGGCCCAGACUCCUACGGGAGGCAGCAGUGGGGAAUAUUGGACAAUGGGGGCAACCCUGAUCCAGCAAUGCCGCGUGAGUGAUGAAGGCCUUCGGGUUGUAAAGCUCUUUUGGCGGGGACGAUGAUGACGGUACCCGCAGAAUAAGCCCCGGCUAACUUCGUGCCAGCAGCCGCGGUAAGAC
rnacentral:rRNA from 1 species